rnacentral:rRNA from 1 species
GACGAACGCUGGCGGCGUGCCUUAGACAUGCAAGUCGAACGGAGUAGCAAUACUCAGUGGCGAACGGCGGAGUAAUGCAUAAGCAACGUGCCCCAAAGACUGGGAUAGUCGAGGGAAACCACGGGUAAUACCAGAUGUGGUCCUUAGAUGGCAUCAUCGAGGGAUUAAAUCGAGCAAUCGGCUUUGGGAGCGGCUUAUGUCCUAUCAGCUUGUUGGUGAGGUAACGGCUCACCAAGGCUACGACGGGUAGGGGGUCUGAGAGGAUGAUCCCCCCGAGUGGGACUGCGACACGGCCCACACACCUACGGGUGGCAGCAGUUUGGAAUAUUGCACAAUGGGGGAAACCCUGAUGCAGCGACGCCGCGUGGAGGACGAAGGAUCUAGGUCUGUAAACUCCUUUUGCCAGGAAAGACUUAGGACGGUACCUGGCGAAUAAGCCCCGGCUAACUACGUGCCAGCAGCCGCGGUAAGACGUAGGGGGCGAGCGUUGUCCGGAUUUACUGGGCGUAAAGAGCGCGUAGGCGGCUAGUUAAGUGAGAAGUGAAAUCUCCAGGGCUCAACCCGGAAACUGCUUUUCAUACUGGACCAGCUGGAGGACGCAGGGGGUGACUGGAAAUUCCCGGUGUAAGCGGUGAAAAGCAUUGAUAUCGGGGAGGAACUUCAACAGCGAAGGCAGGUCACUGGGCGUUUCCUGACGGUGAGGCGCGAAAGCGUGGGUAGCAAACAGGAUUAGAUACCCUGGUAGUCCACGCCCUAAAACGAUGGAUACUAGACGUAAGAGGUAUCGACCCCUCUUGUGUCGCAGCUAACGCAUUAAGUAUCCCGCCUGGGGAGUACGGCCGCAAGGUUGAAACUCAAAAUGAAUUGACGGGGACCCGCACAAGCGGUGGAGCAUGUGGAUUAAUUCGAUACUAACCGAAGAACCUUACCCAGGUUUGACAUCGAUGGUAAGCCCGAGAGAUCGGGCCCUCUCUCACAAGGAGACCUGAAGACAGAUGUUGCAUGGCUGUCGUCAGCUCGUGCCGUGAGGUGUACGGUUAAGUCCGCCAACGAGCGCAACCCUCGUCCUAUGUUGCCAGCGAGUAAUGUCGGGAACUCAUAGGAGACCGCCGGUGUAAGCCGGAGGAAGGUGGGGAUGAUGUCAAGUCAGCAUGGCUCUUACGCCUGGGGCUUCACACAUGCUACAAUGGGCGCAACAAAGGGCACCGAAGCCGUGAGGUGGAGGCAAUCCCAAAAAUACGCCCCCAGUUCAGAUUGCAGUCUGCAACUCGACUGCAUGAAGGCGGAAUCGCUAGUAAACGCAGGUCAGCUAUACUGCGUUGAAUACGUUCCCGGGUCUUGUACACACCGCCCGUCAAGUCACCUGAAUUGUCUUCACCCGAAGUCCGUGGCCUAACCGUAAGGAGGGAGCGGCCGAAGGUGAGGGGAGUAAGGGGGACUA